rnacentral:rRNA from 1 species
CCUACGGGGGGCAGCAGUGAGGAAUAUUGGUCAAUGGGCGGGAGCCUGAACCAGCCAAGCCGCGUGAGGGAAGAAGGUACAGCGUAUCGUAAACCUCUUUUGUCAGGGAACAAAGGCGGGGACUAGUCCCCGGCUGAGGGUACCUGAAGAAAAAGCAUCGGCUAACACCGUGCCAGCAGCCGCGGUAAUACGGAGGAUGCGAGGGUUAUCCGGAUUUAUUGGGUUUAAAGGGUGCGCAGGGGGCCUGUUAAGUCAGCGGUAAAAGCCCGGGGCUCAACCCCGGCGAGCCGUUGAGACUGGCGGGCUGGAGUUGGAGAGAAGUACGCGGAAUGCGCGGUGUAGCGGUGAAAUGCUUAGAUAUCGCGCAGAACCCCGAUUGCGAAGGCAGCGUACCGGCUCCACACUGACGCUGAGGCACGAAAGCGUGGGUAUCGAACAGGAUUAGAUACCCUAGUAGUC